rnacentral:snoRNA from 1 species
AUAAAUUCUUAGAUAUAUAAAUAAAUAUAUAUAUAUAUAUAUAUGUUUAUUCAUUUAUAUUUUUAUUCUUUUAUAAUACACUUUUUCCAG